rnacentral:rRNA from 1 species
GAUGAACGCUGGCGGCGUGCCUAAUACAUGCAAGUCGAGCGAACAGACGAGGAGCUUGCUCCUCUGACGUUAGCGGCGGACGGGUGAGUAACACGUGGAUAACCUACCUAUAAGACUGGGAUAACUUCGGGAAACCGGAGCUAAUACCGGAUAAUAUAUUGAACCGCAUGGUUCAAUAGUGAAAGACGGGUUUGCUGUCACUUAUAGAUGGAUCCGCGCCGCAUUAGCUAGUUGGUAAGGUAACGGCUUACCAAGGCAACGAUGCGUAGCCGACCUGAGAGGGUGAUCGGCCAUACUGGAACUGAGACACGGUCCAGACUCCUACGGGAGGCAGCAGUAGGGAAUCUUCCGCAAUGGGCGAAAGCUUGACGGAGCAACGCCGCGUGAGUGAUGAAGGUCUUCGGAUCGUAAAACUCUGUUAUUAGGGAAGAACAAAUGUGUAAGUAACUAUGCACGUCUUGACGGUACCUAAUCAGAAAGCCACGGCUAACUACGUG